AUAAAAUUUUGUAAAAAAAAAAAAAAUAAAAAAAAAAAAAAAAUAAAUCUGUUCUUAUCAGUUUAAUAUCUGAUACGUCCUCUACCUGAGGACCAUAUAUUAAAUGGAUUUUUAGGCCUGGGAGUCGGAAGAGGGGCUUGCUCCGUCCACGCCACGCAUCGACCAGGUAUUGCAUUGCCUCCUGGCACGGUGCACCCUCA